UCAACGAAUGUUAUCAUAGGUUACGCGCGACUCCAGAGGCAAUUUGGAAUAUCGGCACGAAAUCGUCGGAUGAAAAUCUGAGGUGCCCGACGCACAACAUUUUGAACGUGCCACGGAGGAUCAAGGCAAAAAACGAGAGCAAAAAAGGUGCACGCUGAAGGCGGAAAUGAAGCAUGAUCUGGCUUGCAUCUGGUGCAUGAAGAAAUUGCUGGCACGUUAGUUGCAGUCUACCUCCACCAACAGGGUGGAAAACAAAGGUCGCCAUUCCGAUUAGCUGCU